UCUCUGCAGUAGCCCACCCAGUUUCAAGGAGGUCAUUUCAACUUGUAAUCCUGUCAGCAUGCUUAUAAAGGGCUGUGUGAGGAGCUGGCCUGGCUAGCAGGCGAGAGCGUGAACCCUGCCAGUCCCCAUUUUUAGCUCGAGGAAGCGGAUGCUGCGGGAGGACUACGGCGUAGGGCAGUCCCGGAGGCUGGGACUGAUGCUGGGUGGUGCUUGGAGACAAAGAACAGCAUCUUCCCACGAGCCACCCUCGGUAUUCGUUACGGCCGGAGACAAAGGCUAGCAGGCUGACUGGGGAAGACAUUUCUUUCUGGCUCUGAGUUGCACUGUUCUGCCCUAAAGCUGUCGAAAGGAAAUAUGUUUGUUAUUAUUCACUUGAGGCCACAACAAAUGUACUGCCUGGAUAUGGAGUCUUACGUGAAAACAAAAGCCAUCCUCUGGCAGCCAUGACAUCCUAUGCCUGUGAUGGAAAUGACUGGAGAGGCUCACAGCUGAGAAAAGCAACUUUAAAAAUAGACAGGCUCAUCUGUGAUGUCUGGAGAUGCAAAUACUUCGCCUCCCGCUGAGCCACGGUGUUGUGAGGACAACCCUAUGACACAGGUGAGAUGACACUGGAAGAUUUCCACUCCACAGACAGUAGAGAGGCCAUUUCCCACUAAUGAGAGCUGUGUGUUACCGUGCAUGUUUUCAAAGGCUGGGGAAGGCACUGCUGGGCUAAAACUUGGCAGAAAAUUUUUCCAUGAAUGAGAAGCUCUCUGAGAUUGGCAACUGGAAACGACAAAAAGGACGGGAGCAAAUUCACCUGUGAGAAACCUGCUGGAGGUUAAAUCUUCGCCUUUGCCACUCUCCGGAGCGUGCUGCCUUCGUGGGUCAGCCCCUCUUCCUCAGGCAGUGAGAGCCCUGCACCCAAACGCUCACCGUCCAGAUAGAUUUCGGACCGUGCUGCGAUAGCUAGGCUGUCCGGUAGUCUAGGACUCACUAAUACAGGACUUUUUCCACCUCGCUCAGGAGCAGAGAUCUGGAAGGUGGCUCUGAGAGGCGUUUUGCGUACAGUUGUGUUUACCAGCAUACAGGAGCUGGAUGGGAGACCCAAAACUGCGCGUCGGCACUGCCACUGUCCUCGGAGCUGAGCUGCAGAACCGUCCUCCUCCGAUGGACUCUGAUUUUUCUAUCGAUCAGUCUUCCAACCUCGGUCAAAAAUACACAGCAGUUUGGACCUGCCACCAGCGCUGACAGCACUUUGCCUUCCUCAGCAUCGCCCCCGCGGAGGCACGGGGCAGGAGAUGCUACGAAUGGAAACAGGCCUGGGGACGAGACGCCAACCGCUUUGAAAUUCGUUGCUUUUGGCAAUUGGUAAGCAAGCGCGUCUGUUUGAUGAGGGCUUCGUGGUGUAUCCCAAAAGCAGCAGACAGCCCUGGAGAUGUUUUCCACAAGCCGGGGGCUGCUGGACCAGCAUCACUGGAAGGGAGGAUCCAUGCAGGCUAAGGAAGGGUCGCCUCUCCGCUGAGCGUGAAUGAAGGAUUAUUUGGCUGAGGAAGGCUCCUCUCCUCCCUGUUUUGGGACCUCGAAGAAGCAUUUGGUGACGACAGGAAGAUUUACACAAUGUCCCAGCGCUGCUUGUUUCCUGGCUGAGGGGACACGGGGUUUCCAAGAAUCCCGCGAGCUCGUGUGAGAGGCACCAAAGCUGCUGCCUGGCAGGAGAGGUGCUGGCUCUGCACAUCCACGCAGCCAGUGGGAUGGAGGAGCCCGGCCAAAGUACUCUUUUGGCAUGUUUUUCUUUCAAAAAACACUCAGAAAUAUAAAUUUGAACUGACAAGUUAAAGUCACUAGAAAGCCCCCUGGACGAGGCUCGGUAUUGCUCAUGUGGGAGCUCUCGGCUGACAUGUGGUGUAGAAAGUUUCAGUCUUCUGAGAGGAUGGGUUUAAUGUUAGCUUGACUUUUUUGCGGUGUCGAUGCAGAGAGACACGGUAGUUGUACUGCUUUUGCACAAGUGCAAAAUUCCAGCAGCCUCAGCUUAAGAAAAUAAAACAUUGAAGUUUAGAUUGCAAAAUAUGAUCCAGUUGCUCUUGGUAUAAAAAAAAAAACCCUGAAGAUAUUAAAGUUGGGAGCAGAGCUUUCCUGGUUUCUCCUAUUUAUCUGCCUUUAUGUGCUCAUAGCUACUGAAAGAAUGGGGAGAACAGGGAAUAAUAAAACUGAUUAACUGUGGAAGCGAGUGUAGAUCAACUGGCAGUUAUGACACUUCUCCACUAUCGCUGCAUUUCUUAA